UCUGCUGAGGCCUAAAACCAGGAAGGCUCCAUACUCUUGUGGCCUUCCACCCUCCUGAGUUACGUAGGGUUAUGCAUAGUGACACCAACAGUAACACACAAAACACUUAAUUCCCAGCCCCGAAGAGCUGCA